UCAAUCCUUCUCAUUUGUGAUGAAGAGUCCAGAUUGCUCUGCCUCUUGUUUCUCUUUGACUUUCUUCUUUACAACUCUUCUUUCUAAUUUCUUCUUUCCAUCGAGGUGAAUGGUUUUAAGCCAAUAUCCCCCCUCAAGUUGGAGGGUAAAGAAAUGACCCCCAACUUGUUCAACAAAUGGAGAUGGGGAACCCCAGACAGUGGUUUGGUAAACAAAUCAGCCAGUUGAUGCUUCGAUGGAACGAAGGGAAGUGUAAUUAGACCAGCGACAACUGUUGUCUCACAAAGUGACAAUCCAGCUUAACAUGUUUCGUCCUUUCGUGAAAGACUGGAUUUUUGGCUAUGCUAAUGGCAGCUUCACUAUCGGAGUUCACUGUGAUAGGGAGGAAUGGAGGAACAGAGAGAUCAGCAAGGACACGUACCAACCAAGUAAUUUCAGCAGUCACAUGGCGCAUAUAAUGAUACUCUGCUUCAGCGGAUUAAAGGGAGAUAGAAGCUUGUUUAUUGGAUUUCCAAGAAAUGCGAGCACCACCAAAAGUGAUGAAGCAACCACUGACAGAUCUUCGAGUUUUACGACAAGAGGCCCAAUCGGCGUCGUAGAAAGCUAAUAGAGUAAAUGUGGGAUAUGAGGAGAGAAAAAUUCCUUGACUUGGAUCAUUUCGUAGGUAUGUCAAGACUCGAAGAGCAACAAGAUAAUGUGAUUCAGAGGGAUGUUGCAUAUGUUGACUGAAUGUCAAUACAACAAAAGACAAAUCAUGCCUAGUGUGCGUUAAAUAGUUGAUCUUCCCAACUAAAUGUCGAUAAAGUGUUGGAUUAGCCAUGGAGGGAUUGUCAUCGACAUGAAUUUUGGAAUAUAGAUCAAGCGGUGAAGAUACAACAGCGCCAAAACAAUCAAAUUCAGCAAGUAACUCUAAGGCUAUCCCAGAUCUCCUUGGCAGUCUUGGAUUAGAUUACACUGUCUCCAAUUUCCCGGAAAGUGAAUUCAACAACCAUGAUAUCACCAAUAUCGUUGCAACAAAUCCAUUGGCCAUACUAUACAAUAUCAACACUGCCCUACUCCAUCCUGGAAAUCCCUUCCUAUCAAAGGUAGAGCUGAUGAUAUUUAUUCCUGGCGAAUCCAAAGAGCUGAUGUCGAUCGUGUUGGUCUUUGAAACACUGGAUGUGUUCAGCACCUGAGUUACAACCUCUUCUUAAUACAUUUUGUAUUACAGAUCAAAAUGUACGAUGUAAAUUUGUGCGAAAUAGAUUUGAUUGAGCUACUGCUCUGAUACAAUGAAAGAAUGAAAAGAAAACAUUUGCGAAUUUUCUAAUAA